GACGAACGCUGGCGGCGUGCUUAACACAUGCAAGUCGAACGGUAAGGCCCUUCGGGGUACACGAGUGGCGAACGGGUGAGUAACACGUGGGUGAUCUGCCCUGCACUUCGGGAUAAGCCUGGGAAACUGGGUCUAAUACCGGAUAGGACUCCGGACUGCAUGGUCUGGGGUGGAAAGCUUUUGCGGUGUGGGAUGGGCCCGCGGCCUAUCAGCUUGUUGGUGGGGUGAUGGCCUACCAAGGGGACGACGGGUAGCCGGCCUGAGAGGGUGACCGGCCACACUGGGACUGAGAUACGGCCCAGACUCCUACGGGAGGCAGCAGUGGGGAAUAUUGCACAAUGGGCGCAAGCCUGAGGCAGCGACGCCGCGUGAGGGAUGACGGCCUUCGGGUUGUAAACCUCUUUCAGCAUCGACGAAGCGAAAGUGACGGUAGGUGCAGAAGAAGGACCGGCCAACUACGUGCCAGCCGCCGCAGUAA
rnacentral:rRNA from 1 species